UGGCUAACUCCUACGGGAGGCAGCAGUGGGGGAUUUUGGACAAUGGGGGCAACCCUGAUCCAGCAAUGCCGCGUGAGUGAAGAAGGCCUUCGGGUUGUAAAGCUCUUUCAGCCGGAAAGAAAUCGCGCAGGAUAAUACUCUGCGUGGAUGACGGUACCGGAAGAAGAAGCACCGGCUAACUACGUGCCAGCAGCCGCGGUAAUACGUAGGGUGCGAGCGUUAAUCGGAAUUACUGGGCGUAAGGCGUGCGCAGGCGGUUAUGUAAGACAGAUGUGAAAUCCCCGGGCUCAACCUGGGAACUGCGUUUGUGACUGCAUAACUAGAGUACGGCAGAGGGAGGUGGAAUUCCGCGUGUAGCAGUGAGAUGCGUAGAUAUGCGGAGGAACACCGAUGGCGAAGGCAGCCUCCUGGGCCAGUACUGACGCUCAUGCACGAAAGCGUGGGGAGCAAACAGGAUUAGAUACCCCGGUAGUCCAGCUGG
rnacentral:rRNA from 1 species